UUAUAUGGUCAAGAAGAGAAGCGCAAACGGUGGAUGCCUUGGCAGUAAGAGGCGAAGAAGGACGUGGAAUCCUGCGAAAAGCUAUGGGGAGCUGGAAACGAGCGUUGAGCCAUAGAUGUCCGAAUGGGGGAACCCGGCUGCAGCGAUGCGGUCAUUUGCAUUUGAAUACAUAGGAUGCAAAGGCGAACUCGGGGAACUGAAACAUCUAAGUACCCGAAGGAAAAGAAAUCAAGAGAGAUUCUCCAAGUAGCGGCGAGCGAACGGGGAGGAGCCUGGCGUGAUUUAUUAUUGAGCUGAGUAGAACAAUUUGGGAAAGUUGGCCGAAGAGGGUGAAAGCCCCGUAUACGAAGGUUUGAUGAGGAACU
rnacentral:rRNA from 1 species